CCUACGGGAGGCAGCAGUGGGGAAUAUUGCUCAAUGGGCGAAAGCCUGAUGCAGCAACGCCGCGUGGGCGAUGAAGGCCUUCGGGUUGUAAAGCUCUUUUCUUAAGGAAGAUAAUGACGGUAUUUAAGGAGUAAGCCCCGGCUAACUACGUGCCAGCAGCCGCGGUAAUAAGUAGGGGGCUAGCGUUACCCGGAAUCACUGGGCGUAAAGGGUGCGUAGGAGGGGUAAUAAGUCAGAGGUGAAAGGCUGCAGCGUAAAUGAAGAAAGGCAUUUGAAACUGGUAAUUUGUAGUGUGGGAGAGGUAGGUGGAAUGCGUGGUGGAGGGGGAAAAUACGGAGAGAGCAAGAGGAACAAUCAUUGCGAAGGCGACCCACUGGAACAUUACUGACGCUGAGGCACGAAAGCGUGGGGAGCAAACAGGAUUAGAUACACCUGUAGUC
rnacentral:rRNA from 1 species